rnacentral:rRNA from 1 species
GGACUACAGGGGUAUCUAAUCCUGUUUGCUACCCACGCUUUCGCUCCUCAGCGUCAAUACUGGCCCAGAGCACCGCCUUCGCCACCGGUGUUCCUCCUGAUAUCUGCGCAUUUCACCGCUACACCAGGAAUUCCGUGCUCCCCUACCAGAUUCAAGCCACAGCAGUAUCGGAUGGCGUCUCGGGGUUGAGCCCCGAGUUUUCACAUCCGACUAACUGAGCCGCCUACGAGCUCUUUACGCCCAAUAAAUCCGGACAACGCUCGGACCCUACGUAUUACCGCGGCGGCUGGCAC